rnacentral:rRNA from 1 species
AUAUGCCUUAUGGUGGGGGACAACAGUUGGAAACGACUGCUAAUACCGCAUAACGUCUACGGACCGAAGGGGGGGAUCUUCGGACCUCUCGCCAUUUGAUUAGCCCAAGUGAGAUUAGCUAGUUGGUGAGGUAAUGGCUCACCAAGGCGACGAUCUCUAGCUGGUUUGAGAGGAUGAUCAGCCACACUGGGACUGAGACACGGCCCAGACUCCUACGGGAGGCAGCAGUGGGGAAUAUUGCACAAUGGGCGAAAGCCUGAUGCAGCCAUGCCGCGUGUGUGAAGAAGGCCUUCGGGUUGUAAAGCACUUUCAGUUGUGAGGAAAGGGAUGUAGUUAAUAGCUGCAUUCUGUGACGUUAACAACAGAAGAAGCACCGGCUAACUUCGUGCCAGCAGCCGCGGUAAUACGAGGGGUGCAAGCGUUAAUCGGAAUUACUGGGCGUAAAGCGUUCGUAGGCGGUCUAUUAAGCAAGAUGUGAAAGCCCAGGGCUCAACCUUGGAACUGCAUUUUGAACUGGUAGACUAGAGUACUGUAGAGGGUGGUGGAAUUUCCAGUGUAGCGGUGAAAUGCGUAGAGAUUGGAAGGAACAUCAGUGGCGAAGGCGGCCACCUGGACAGAUACUGACGCUGAGGAACGAAAGCGUGGGGAGCGAACAG